AGUGAACGCUGGCGGUAGGCCUAACACAUGCAAGUCGAACGGCAGCACAGGAGAGCUUGCUCUCUGGGUGGCGAGUGGCGGACGGGUGAGGAAUACAUCGGAAUCUACUCUGUCGUGGGGGAUAACGUAGGGAAACUUACGCUAAUACCGCAUACGACCUACGGGUGAAAGCAGGGGACCUUCGGGCCUUGCGCGAUUGAAUGAGCCGAUGUCGGAUUAGCUAGUUGGCGGGGUAAAGGCCCACCAAGGCGACGAUCCGUAGCUGGUGUGAGGAGAUGAUCGGCAACGCUGGAACUGAGACACGGUCCAGACUCCUACGGGAGGCAGCAGUGGGGAAUAUUGGACAAUGGGCGCAAGCCUGAUCCAGCCAUACCGCGUGGGUGAAGAAGGCCUUCGGGUUGUAAAGCCCUUUUGUUGGGAAAGAAAUCCAGCUGGCUAAUACCCGGUUGGGAUGACGGUACCCAAAGAAUAAGCACCGGCUAACUUCGUGCCAGCCGCCGCCGUAA
rnacentral:rRNA from 1 species